AACAUCGACAUUUCGAACGCACAUUGCGGUCCACGGAUCUAAUUCCCGGACCACG
rnacentral:rRNA from 2 species